rnacentral:misc_RNA from 1 species
GAUGAAGAACGCAGCGAAAUGCGAUACGUAAUGUGAAUUGCAGAAUUCAGUGAAUCAUCGAGUCUUUGAACGCACAUUGCGCCCCCUGGUAUUCCGGGGGGCAUGCCUGUCCGAGCGUCAUUGCUGCCCUCAAGCACGGCUUGUGUGUUGGGCCUCCGUCCUCCUCCCGGGGGACGGGCCCGAAAGGCAGCGGCGGCACCGCGUCCGGUCCUCGAGCGUAUGGGGCUUCGUCACCCGCUCUUGUAGGCCCGGCCGGCGCUUGCCGACACAUCAAUCUUUUUUCCAGGUUGACCUCGGAUCAGGUAGGGAUACCCGCUGAAAUUAAGCAUAUCAAUAAGCGGAGGA